rnacentral:rRNA from 1 species
UGGGGAAUAUUGCACAAUGGGCGAAAGCCUGAUGCAGCGACGCCGCGUGAGGGAUGACGGCCUUCGGGUUGUAAACCUCUUUCAGUAGGGAAGAAGCCCUUUCGGGGGUGACGGUACUUGCAGAAGAAGCGCCGGCUAACUACGUGCCAGCAGCCGCGGUAAUACGUAGGGCGCGAGCGUUGUCCGGAAUUAUUGGGCGUAAAGAGCUCGUAGGCGGUUUGUCGCGUCUGCUGUGAAAUCCUCAGGCUCAACUUGGGGCGUGCAGUGGGUACGGGCAGACUAGAGUGCGGUAGGGGAGACUGGAAUUCCUGGUGUAGCGGUGGAAUGCGCAGAUAUCAGGAGGAACACCGAUGGCGAAGGCAGGUCUCUGGGCCGUUACUGACGCUGAGGAGCGAAAGCAUGGGGAGCGAACAGG